rnacentral:rRNA from 1 species
UGGGGGAUAUUGCACAAUGGGCGAAAGCCUGAUGCAGCGACGCCGCGUGGGGGAUGAAGGCCUUCGGGUUGUAAACUUCUUUUGCUCUGAACAAGGCAUGCUAAUGGGUGUGUUGAGUGUAGGGGUUGAUUAGCGCCGGCUAACUACGUGCCAGCAGCCGCGGUAAUACGUAGGGCGCGAGCGUUGUCCGGAAUUAUUGGGCGUAAAGGGCUUGUAGGUGGCUGGUUGCGUCUGUCGUGAAAGCUCAUGGCUUAACUGUGGGUUUGCGGUGGGUACGGGCUGGCUUGGGUGCAGUAAGGGAGGCUGGAAUUCCUGGUGUAGCGGUGGAAUGCGCAAAUGUCAGGAGGAAUACCGGUGGCGAAGGCGGGUCUCUGGGCUGUUACUGACACUGAGGAGCGAAAGCAUGGGGGGCGAACAGG